CCUACGGGAGGCAGCAGUGAGGAAUAUUGGUCAAUGGACGAGAGUCUGAACCAGCCAAGUAGCGUGAAGGAUGAAUGCCCUAUGGGUUGUAAACUUCUUUUAUAUGGGAAUAAAAUGUUCCACGUGUGGGAUUUUGCAUGUACUUUAUGAAUAAGGAUCGGCUAACUCCGGGCCAGCAGCCGCGGUAAUACGGAGGAUCCGAGCGUUAUCCGGAUUGAUUGGGGUGAAAUGGAGCGGAGAUGGGUUGUUAAGUCAGUUGUGAAAGUUUGCGGCUCAACCGUAAAAUUGCAAUUGAUACUGGCAGUCUUGAGUACAGUUGAGGUAGGCGGAAUUCGUGGUGUAGCGGUGAAAUGCUUAGAUAUCACGAAGAACCCCGAUUGCGAAGGCAGCUUACUAAACUGUGACUGACAUUGAUGCUCGAAAGUGUGGGUAUCAAACAGGAUUAGAUACCCCUGUAGUC
rnacentral:rRNA from 1 species